rnacentral:rRNA from 1 species
UACGUAGGGCGCAAGCGUUGUCCGGAAUUAUUGGGCGUAAAGAGCUCGUAGGCGGCCUGUUAAGUCUGCUGUGAAAUCCCGGGGCUUAACCCCGGGCGUGCAGUGGAUACGGGCAGGCUGGAGGCAGGCAGGGGAGAACGGAAUUCCCGGUGUAGCGGUGAAAUGCGCAGAUAUCGGGAGGAACACCGGUGGCGAAGGCGGUUCUCUGGGCCUGUACUGACGCUGAGGAGCGAAAGCGUGGGGAGCGAACAGG